rnacentral:lncRNA from 1 species
GGGAAAAUGCCUUGAAGAGAAAAAGGACUGCAAAAGUGGAGAAGCUGAACCGUUGAGAAUACCCAUUUCUAUAAAUGGUGGAAACUUCAAUUCAAAUACAUUAUUAUCACCCUUAAUGAUCAAACAUCAUUAAUUUAUUCCAUGCAUGCUAAUUAGCUCUCCUAACAACGAAGAUUAGGUCCAGGGUUAACUCCGAAUUGGUUACAAUAACUCGUAUAAUAAUUAACACGAGCAGUCACGGCGGCCGGGAUCCCGCCGUCGCAUUCCCCGCCAUGAAUAGCCCUAAUCGUGGCCCCAAAACCCCGCCCCGAUGUAAUAGCUGUGUGCACCCUAUUCAUCCAGAACCACAGCGCGGCCUUGAAUGAGAUGGCGGGGUCACGGGCCACGAUAUCGGGGUUGUUCAAUCCAUCAAAAUUUAGGGCUUGGCCCGCCGGGCCGUAGUUGUAGUUCCACGUCAGCUGUAGCGGGCCUCUGCCGUAGUACCUCUGGCCCGGCGUGCACGGCCACUGUUUGUUGCUAUUGCAAUAGAUCGCCUUGUUUAUCUCUCGUGUGUAGCACAUGUCUGCAUGGGAAAGAAAAUUAUCAGAUCGUCUGAUGGGUCAAGAUUCAUCACAUAUAUUCAUUAAUAAUACUCCCUCCGUCCGCCAAAAGUAUUCCACUUUGGCCUGGCACGGAGUUUAAUAAAAUGUGUGAUGAUGUUGAUGUAGUGGAGAAAGGGCCCUACCACUUUAUGAGAUAUGUGGUUGAGAUUGAAUUUGAGGUGAGUUUUUGUAAAUAAAGAGUGUUUGUAAGGANCCUACGUCGCCUUACCUCUAAAUCUCCGACCUGACUUGAUUUGUUACGAAAAAAAAGGAAAAAUAAUACUCCCUCCGUCCGUCAAAAGUAUUCCACUUUGGCCGGGCACGGAGUUUAAUAAAAUGUGUGAUGAUGUUGAUGUAGUGGAGAAAGGGCCCUACCACUUUAUGAGAUAUGUGGUUGAGAUUGAAUUUGAGGUGAGUUUUUUGUAAAUAAAGAGUGUUUGUAAGGAUAAAAUAUAAAGGUGGAUGGUGGGACCAUGGCUUAAAAAGGAAAGUGGAAUACUUUUUGCGGACGCCAAAUAUAGUAAUUGUGGAAUACUUUUGGCGGACGGAGGGAGUAUUAAUCUUUGGUUUAUGGUUGUGUUCGGAUAUAGACAUUGAAUUAAUUUAUGGAUUUUGACACGUCAUACCGUCUGACAUGAUAUUAUUUCCCUAGUUCAAUAUUGAUUUCAACUCAUAUAAGUUGUGAGACAGAGAAUCUCAUCGAAUUAUCAAUAUUUUGUGUGAAGCAUUGUACAAUAGCGCUUCUAAAGCCUAAUUAAAUAGUAGGAGUAAAAAAUUUGUCUUUCGAAAUCUCAAACUCAAUACAUGUGUGCAAGAUGAUUAAUGCCCAAGGCCUGAAGUGCUGAAUUUGAUUCCACCGUGGCACGAUUUUUAAUUUAUUUAUUUAGUUGUGUAAUUUAUACAAAAAAAAAAAAAAAAAAAGAUAUAGCUCCUAAGUGAGAGUAACAAAGUUAACAAUUAAAAAGAAAUGUGAUUAUAUAUAAAAUUAUAAUCUUUUAAAAAGUAAAAUAAAAAUAAAUAAAUAAGAAAACUUAGUCCAAUCUAAUGUGUGACAUGCCAUGACCUCACGCUCCGAUUCGUCGGUGGACACGAGUUUCGAAAAAAAUUAAUUAUAUAUAAUUAGUAACAAUAUGUCCGAAAAUAGAAUAGGAAGAUAUUUUAUGGAGGAAUCAAAAAAGAAAAGUAGGAAAAUAUUUCGUGGACUUACGCCCGGUCUCGUGCGUGACAUGAGCGAAGAACGCCGCGAUCUCACGCUUCGAGUCGUCGGCGGACCCCACCGUGCCGAAGUUGGGGUACAGCUGAAUCGCUUGUAGGAAGGCGGCGCGUGUGUAGAAUCCCUUCCCGGCGCAGCCCCGCCACGCCUGAUUAGCAAUGCCGUUGAAGAAACUAUCUGUCACCACGCCGCCGACAUUGCUCCGUUGUUUUGGUCCGGAGACGGUAUUUUUCCGGUGGCUAGGAGGAGAGCGAGAAGGGCGUAGAUAGUGAGGGAAUGGUUCAUUUUGGAGAUAGCUAAGAGUAGUGAGAAAAUAUUGUGUUGGUGUUGAGAAAUAAUGUGGGGAUUUAUGGGUAUUUAAAGAGUGAAAUAAAUAUAUACUCCAUUAUUUUAUUUUAUCUUUAGAAGGAUAAUGGGAAGAGGAAGAUAUCUUGAAGCUAGGAAGAUUGGAAGUUUGUUACAAAUGGAUUAAUUAGUAUAUUAUUGACUUUUGGAAUGCCUUAUAGUGUAUGAUACUAUUUGAUUUUAUUGUGGUGGAAAUUUGUGUUGGAUUUUCCAAAGUGGAGUAGGUAAACUUGACUUACUAUUAAGAGUCAACUCAUAAUAUUUACACCAUAACUAGUUACUUGUAAUCUAAUUAUAUGCUAAAGGAUAUUGUUCACUACAAAUUAUACUUAUAAGUUCAAAUGAGAAGGUAUAUAAUGUACUAUACAUUAAAAAUUAUUUUAGUACUGAAAAUGUGAAGAUUUACUGUGAAUUCAUCACUUUGCUGAACGAUCUCAUAAUUCAUGGAUCAUACUGAAUUUAAAUCUUAAAGGUGUUGAAAAUUUAUUUUCUUUUAAUUCAUUACUUUUCAUUUUCACAAUGAAUUCAUAAUAAUUCAUAUAUGAGAUGUUUGAUUUGAGCGAUAAGCAUGACUGAUAAACAAGCCCAACUUAACUAAACAUUUGGUUUGUAUGAUUCGACUCGUAAUAUAAUUUGGCCCGUAAUUUAAUCAUAUAAUAAAAUGAUCAUUUAUCACUUUAAAAUUGAGUUGAUUAUAUAUAACUAUAUCCGACAUUAUAAACAAUGAGACCAAAUAUAUAAAGACUCCAAAAUAAAAAUAAAAAAACCACGAAAGUGUUUAAUAAAAAUGAAAUAAAAGAAGAAUAUGAAAAACCAACAUACUAGUGAGUCACAUGAUUCUCUAGAGUCUUUGGUCAAUUCUAUAUCUCAAUACAUUAAAAAUAAUAAAUAUUAUAGUCCAAACUUAGGGGGUGUAUUAGUUCAAGAUUUAUGUAGAUUUUAAAAAUCCGUGGAUUUUAAAAGUCUAUAGAAUUCUCACGGAUUCUUCAUGAUUUUGAAUGAAUUCUUGGUCGGAUUUUUAAUGAAUUAGCAAGAAUUUGACGUGAUAUUUUCGGACUUGAAAUCCACAAACCCAAUGAGCGCGGGAAUUGAACGAGCGCUAGACCUACUUUCAGCGGCCGCUAGGGGCCCAUGAGCGCUGGAUACCUAGCGAGCGCUGGGUUCCAGCGAGCGCUCAAACCAUAUAUCACAUCAUUGGAUUUGGUUGGUGCCUAAAAUUUUACCGGUGGUGCACAUAUAUUCCCAACUUUCACACAGUUAUAUAUAUUAUCAUAUAGUAUUUCAAACAUGCAUAUGCGCCUCCCAAUAACUGGAUUUAUGAUUAUUAUUUUGACUACACUGGUUCUAUUUCUAUGUAAUCGGCGCUAUUUAAUUCUAGUGGGUAACUAUUAUUUGCAUGCAUUCCCAUUAUUAUAUAUAUAUCUCUAUCCACUAAGCAAUUUAAUUUCCUAAUGGAUAAUAUGGUGAUGGGAGCUUCCCGAAGAAAAUCAUGGCACCACGAGCGCUGAAGAAACUUGACCGCUGGAAUCAUUGGCAACGGCCGCUAGGGUCCAGCGGCCGCUGGCACCCAGCGAGCGCGGGGAUUUUGCAGGAUUUGUGAAUUCUCGUGGUCUGUGUUCGGAUUUGUUCAUACUUAUUUUUUCAACGAAAUCAAUGAAAGUCGUUCCAAUUUUAAAGUCCAUAGAUUAACGAAUACAUCCAGAUUUUCAUAGACUUUUAAAAGUCUUGAACAAAUACACCCAGAUAUUUAUAGACUUUUAAAAGUCUUGAACGAAUACACCUAGAUUUUCAUAGACUUUUAAAAGUUUUGAACGAAUACACCUAGAUUUUCAUAGACUUUUAAAAGUCUUGAACUAAUACACCUAACCUUUAAAAGUCUGCAGAAAUCUAUUAAAGUCUUAAACUAAUACACCCCCCUUGGUUCACGUGAUCAUGGUCCCCAUAUGUAAUACCGACCUAAUUUUCCACAUUCUCUUUUUUCUCUUUUUUUUUUUUUCUUUUUUUCUUCUAGUAACAUUUUUGUAUUCUCAUCCCUUCUUGUUUAUACCACAUAUAACAAAUAUCUCAUUGAUUUAAUCUAUUUCAAUUUUUUUUAAAAGAUAUUUCCUAAAUAUAACCUACCCCAAUUAACAUUAGCUAAGACUUCAAGUUAAAUAUUAAAAAAGAGGGGGAAAAGGCCUUAAAAUACACAAAGUUUGGACGAAUUCUGAUUUUACACACAACUUUUGAAAUUUGAAAAAAAAAAUACAACAAAUUUUAAUUUUUUUUUAUUUUUUCCUAAAUUUAAAAAUACCCUAAAAUUAGAAACAUAUGAGUUGCUACUACAACCCAACACAGCAAGCUCAUAACCCGUACAUAUAAUGUAUUUAAUGAGCUUCGCAAUUCAACAUGAAAAUAAAGCUUUCUCUCGCAAUCAAACGUUAACUCACAAGAAAAUGAAAAUAAAUUGUAGCAGUUUAAAAUUUAAUGUAUUUCAUUUCAAAUUUCAAAGGUUGUGAGCAUAUUAAAAUUUUAUUUUUAUUUUUUCAUGGAUUAAUGUUUGAUUGCGAGAGAAAACUUUAAUCAAUAUUUUGAAUAUAAAUUUAAAUAUAAAUAUAAAUUUAUAUUCGGUAAACAAAAUUCGGGAUUCGAUGCGAUACUAAACAAAUCAAACUUGAGCACACCAGUAUUCAAUUCGACUCGGUUCGAUUAUACCCCUAUGUAUUCCCAGAAAAUGAAACCUUUUACCAAAAAGUACAAAGAUGUAAAAUAAUACUGUGAAAAGCGCAUUUUCAACUGUCUGUAAUGCUUUAGACAUCGUAUGUCGUGCAACGAUUUUACGAUGCAAUAUUUUCAAGAAUUCUUGAAAUUCACUGUAUCCAGCUUGGAUCCAUAACAUUUUUCAGACCUUUUUAGUUAUAUACUCCCUCCGUCCAUGAAAGAACUUCCUAUGAGGGAGUGGCACGGGUUUUAAUAAAAUGUUGUAUAGUGUAUUGAGAAUGGAGAAAAAGUUGUAAAGUGUAUUGGGAAUUGUGAAAAAGUAUUAAUAAUUUAUUGUGUUGUUUUAAUUAAUGUUAUUUGAGUGGUGGGAAUUGUCUUAAAAGGGGAGUAUUUUUUAAGUGGUGGGGUAUUGUCCCAAAAUAGGAAAAAGUAGGAAGUUCUUUCGUGGAUGUCCCGAAAUAGAAAAAUAGGAAGUUCUUUCGUGGACGGAGGGAGUAUACAUUUUUAACAGACAAUCUUUGUAUCAAGUAAAUAUGUUCAAACUGUUGGAAAUCUGCUAUGCUAUGCUGGAGAAAUCGUUCAGCAGAAUAGACGCCUACAAAGUGCUCGACAGAACGACUGAAAGAGUUAAAAGAAAGGGCUGCAGAAAUCUUCACACCAACUGUUUGGGAAAAUGCCUUCAAUAGAAAAAGGACUGCAAAAGUGGAGAAGCUGAACCGUUGAGAAUACCCAUUUCUAAUGCUGCAAACUUCAAUUCAAAUACACUAAUGAUCAAACAUCAUUAAUUUAUUCCAUGCAUGUUAAUUAGCUCUCCUAACAACGAAGAUUAGGUCCGGGAUUAACUCCGAAUUGGUUACAAUAACUCGUAUAAUAAUUAACACGAGCAGUCACGGCGGCCGGGAUCCCUCCGUCGCAUUCCCCGCCAUGAAUAGCCCUAAUCGUGGCCCCAAAACCCCGCCCCGAUGUAAUAGCUGUGUGCACCCUAUUCAUCCAGAACCACAGCGCGGCCUUGAAUGAGAUGGCGGGGUCCCGGGCCACGAUAUCGGGGUUGUUCAAUCCAUCAAAAUUUAGGGCUUGGCCCGCCGGGCCGUAGUUGUAGUUCCACGUCAGCUGUAGCGGGCCUCUGCCGUAGUACCUCUGGCCCGGCGUGCACGGCCACUGUUUGUUGCUAUUGCAAUAGAUCGCCUUGUUUAUCUCUCGUGUGUAGCACAUGUCUGCAUGGGAAAGAAAAUUAUCAGAUCGUCUGAUGGGUCAAGAUUCGUCACAUAUAUUCAUUAAUAAUAUUAAUCUUUGGUUUAUGGUUGUGUUCGGAUAUAGACAUUGAAUUAAUUUAUGGAUUCUGACUCGUCAUACCGUCUGACAUGAUAUUAUUUCCCUAGUUCAAUAUUGAUUUCAACUCAUAUAAGUUGUGAGACAGAGAAUCUCAUCGAAUUAUCAAUAUUUUGUGUGAAGCAUUGUACAAUAGCGCUUCUAAAACCUAAUAAAAAAUUUGUCUUUCGAAAUCUCAAACUCAAUACAUGUGUGCAAGAUGAUUAAUGCCCAAGGUCUGAAGUGCUGAAUUUGAUUCCACCGUGGCACGAUUUUUAAUUUAUUUAUUUAGUUGUGUAAUUUAUCAAAAAAAAAUUGUUUUGAAAAAAAAAUAGAAAAAGAUAGCUCCUAAGUGAGAGUAACAAAGUUAACAAUUAAAAAGAAAUGUGAUUAUAUAUAAAAUUAUAAUCUUUUAAAAAGUAAAAUAAAAAUAAAUAAAUAAGAAAACUUAGUCCAAUCUAAUGUGUGACAUGCGCGAAGAACGCCAUCACCUCACGCUCUGAUUCGUCGGUGGACACGAGUUUCGAGAAAAUUUAAUUAUAUCUUUGGUGAAUGCAAAAAGGGUUUAUAAUUUAGAAAAAAAUAGUGAGUGAAUUUAUGUGAGUCCAUUAGUGAUAAUGCGUGUAAAUAUAUGGUAAUUUUAAUUGUAAUAAUUAGUAACAAUAUGUUCGAAAAUAGAGUAGGAAGAUAUUUUAUGGAGGAAUCAAAAAAGAAAAUUAGGAAAAUAUUUCGUGGACUUACGCCCGGUCUCGUGCGUGACAUGAGCGAAGAACGCUGCGAUCUCACGCUUCGAGUAGUCGGCGGACCCCACCGUGCCGAAGUUGGGGUACAGCUGAAUCGCUUGUAGGAAGGCGGCGCGUGUGUAGAAUCCCUUCCCGGCGCAGCCCCGCCCCGCCUGAUUAGCAAUGCCGUUGAAGAAACUAUCUGUCACCACGCCGCUGACAUUGCCUCCGUUGUUUUGGCCGGAGACGUAUUUUCCGGUGGCUAGGAGGAGAGCGAGAAGGGCGUAGAUAGUGAGGGAAUGGUUCAUUUUGGAGAUAGCUAAGAGUAGUGAGAAAAUAUUGUGUUGGUGUUGAGAAAUAAUGUGGGGAUUUAUGGGUAUUUAAAGAGUGAAAUAAAUAUAUACUCCAUUAUUUUAUUUUAUCUUUAGAAGGAUAAUGGGAAGAGGAAGAUUGGAAGUUUGUUACAAAUGGAUUAAUUAGUAUAUUAUUGACUUUUGGAAUGCCUUAUAGUAUAUGAUACUAUUUGAUUUUAUUGUGGUGGAAAUUUGUGUUGGAUUUUCCAAAGUGGAGUAGGUAAACUUGACUUACUAUUAAGAGUCAACUCAUAAUAUUUACACCAUAACUAGUUACUUGUAAUCUAAUUAUAUGCUAAAGGAUAUUGUUCACUACAAAUUAUACUUAUAAGUUCAAAUGAGAAGGUAUAUAAUGUACUAUAAAUUAAAAAUUAUUUCAGUACUGAAAAUGUGAAGAUUUACUGUGAAUUCAUCACUUUGCUGAACGAACUCAUAAUUCAUGGUUCAUACUGAAUUUAAAUCUUAAAGGUGUUGAAAAUUUAUUUUCUUUUAAUUCAUUACUUUUCAUUUUCACAAUGAAUUCAUAAUAAUUCAUAUAUGAGAUGUUUGAUUUGAGCGAUAAGCAUGACUGAUAAACAAGCCCAACUUAACUAAACAUUUGGUUUGUAUGAUUCGACUCGUAAUAUAAUUUGGCCCGUAAUUUAAUCAUAUAAUAAAAUGAUCAUUUAUCACUUUAAAAUUGAGUUGAUUAUAUAUAACUAUAUCCGACAUUAUAAACAAUGAGACCAAAUAUAUAAAGACUCCAAAAUAAAAUAAAAAACCACGAAAGUGUUUAAUAAAAAUGAAUAAAAUAAGAAUAUGAAAACCAACAUACUAGUGAGUCACAUGAUUCUCUAGAGUCUUUGGUCAAUUCUAUAUCUCAAUACAUUAAAAAUAAUAAAUAUUAUAGUCCAAACUUAGGGGUGUAUUAGUUCAAGAUUUAUGUAGAUUUUAAAAAUCCGUGGAUUUUAAAAGUCUAUAGAAUUCUCACGGAUUCUUCAUGAUUUUGAAUGAAUUCUUGGUCGGAUUUUUAAUGAAUUAGCAAGAAUUUGACGUGAUAUUUUCGGACUUGAAAUCCACAAACCCAAUGAGCGCGGGAAUUGAACGAGCGCUAGACCUACUUUCAGCGGCCGCUAGGGGCCCAUGAGCGCUGGAUACCUAGCGAGCGCUGGGUUCCAACGAGCGCUCAAACCAUAUAUCACAUCAUUGGAUUUGGUUGGUGCCUAAAAUUUUACCGGUGGUGCACAUAUAUUCCCAACUUUCACACUGUUAUAUAUAUUAUCAUAUAGUAUUUCAAACAUGCAUAUGCGCCUCCCAAUAACUGGAUUUAUGAUUAUUAUUUUGACUACACUGGUUCUAUUUCUAUGUAAUCGGCGCUAUUUAAUUUUAGUGGGUAACUAUUAUUCGCAUGCAUUUCCAUUAUUAUAUAUAUAUCUCUAUCCACUAAGCAAUUUAAUUUCCUAAUGGAUAAUAUGGUGAUGGGAGCUUCCCGAAGAAAAUCAUGGCACCACGAGCGCUGAAGAAACUUGACCUCUGGAAUCAUUGGCAACGGCCGCUGGCUUCUUGGCCGCGGGCGCUGGCACCCAGCGAGAGCGGGGAUUUUGCAGGAUUUGUGAAUUCUCGUGGUCUGUGUUCGGAUUUGUUCAUGCUUGUUUUUUCAACGAAAUUAAUGAAAGUCAUUUCAAUUUUAAAGUCCAUAAAUUAUCGAAUACAUCCAGAUUUUUAUAGACUUUUAAAAGUCUUGAACGACCUAAAUUUUCAUAGACUUUUAAAAGUAUUGAACGAAUACACCUAGAUUUUCAUAGACUUUUAAAAGUCUUGAACUAAUACACCUAACCUUUAAAAGUCUGCAGAAAUCUAUUAAAGUCUUAAACUAAUACACCCCCCUUAAUUGGUUCACGUGAUCAUGGUCCCCAUAUGUAAUACCGACCUAAUUUUCCACAUUCUCUUUCUUCUUCUUUUUUUUUUUUCUUUUUUUCUUCUAGUAACAUUUUUGUAUUCUCAUCCCUUCUUGUUUAUACCACAUAUAACAAAUACUCCCUCCGUCCCACUGUAAGUGAGACCUUUUUUUUGGGCACGAGAAUUAAGAAAGGUGUAUUUUGUGUGUAAGUGAAAAAAGUGAAAAUGUGUUUAAAGGGAAAAACUUUUACCUAAAAAGGAAAGAGUCUCACUUACAAUGGGACGCCCAAAAUAGAAAGAGUCUCAGAUACAGUGGGACGGAGGGAGUAUCUCAUUGAUUUAAUCUAUUUCAAUUUUUUUUAAAAGAUAUUUCCUAAAUAUAACCUACCCCAAUUAACAUUAGCUAAGACUUCAAGUUAAAUAUUAAAAAAGAGGGGGAAAAGGCCUUAAAAUACACAAAGUUUGGACGAAUUCUGAUUUUACACACAACUUUUGAAAUUUGAAAAAAAAAUACAACAAAUUUUAAUUUUUUUUUAUUUUUUCCUAAAUUUAAAAAUACCCUAAAAUUAGAAACAUAAAAGUUGCUACUACAACCCAACACAGCAAGCUCAUAACCCGUACAUAUAAUGUAUUUAAUGAGCAUCGCAAUUCAACAUGAAAAUAAAGCUUUCUCUCGCAAUCAAACAUUAACUCACAAGAAAAUGAAAAUAAAUUGUAGCUGUUUAAAAUUUAAUGUAUUUCAUUUCAAAUUUCAAAGGUUGUGAGCAUAUUAAAAUUUUAUUUUUAUUUUUUCGUGGAUUAAUGUUUGAUUGCGAGAGAAAACUUUAAUCAAUAUUUUGAAUAUAAAUAUAAAUAUAAAUAUAAAUUUAAAUAUAAAUUUAAAUAUAAAUUUAUAUUCGGUAAACAAAAUUCGGGAUUCGAUGCGAUACUAAACAAAUCAAACUUGAGCACACCACUAUUCAAUUCGGCUCGAUCGGUUCGAUUAUACGCCUAUGUAUAAUGUAUUCCCGGAAAAUGAAACCUUUAACAAAAAGUACAAAGAUGUAAAAUAAUACUGUGAAAAGCGCAUUUUCAACUCUCUAUAAUGCUUUAGACAUCGUAUGUCAUGCAACGAUUUUACGAUGCAAUUUUUUCAAGAAUUCUUGAAAUUCACUGUAUCCAGCUUGGAUCCAUAACAUUUUUCAGACCUUUUUAGUUAUAUAUACAUUUUUAACUGACAAUCUUUGUAUCAAGUAAAUAUGUUCAAACUGUUGGAAAUCUGCUAUGCUAUGCUGGAGAAAUCGUUCAGCAAAAUAGACGCCUACAAAGUGCUCGACAGAACGACUGAAAGAGUUAAAAGAAAGGGCUGCAGAAAUCUUCACACCAACUGUUUGGGAAAAUGCCUUGAAUAGAAAAAGGACUGCAAAAGUGGAGAAGCUGAACCAUUGAGAAUACUCAUUUCUAAUACGGCAAACUUCAAUUCAAAUACACUAAUGAUCAAACAUCAUUAAUUUAUUCCAUGCAUGUUAAUUAGCUCUCUUAACAACGAAGAUUAGGUCCAGGAUUAACUCCGAAUUGGUUACAAUAACUCGUAUAAUAAUUAACACGAGCAGUCACGGCGGCCGGCUUCCCUCCAUUGCAUUCUCCGCCGUUAAUAGCCCUAAUCGUGGCCCCAAAACCCCGCCCCGAUGUAAUAGCCGUGUGCACGCUAUUCAUCCAGAACCACAGCGCGGCCUUGAAUGAGAUGGCGGAGUCCCGGGCCACGAUAUCGGGGUUGUUCAAUCCAUCAAAAUUUAGGGCUUGGCCCGCCGGGCCGUAGUUGUAGUUCCACGUCAGCUGUAGCGGGCCUCUGCCGUAGUAGCUCUGGCCCGGCGUGCACGGCCACUGUUUGUUGCUACUGCAAUAGACCGCCUUGUUUAUCUCUCGUGUGUAGCACAUGUCUGCAUGGGAAAGAAAAUUAUCAGAUCGUCUGAUGGGUCAAGAUUCGUCACAUAUAUUCAUUAAUAAUAUUAAUAUUUGGUUUAUGGUUGUGUUCGGAUAUAGACAUUGAAUUAAUUUAUAGAUUUUGACUCGUCAUACCGUCUGACAUGAUAUUAUUUCCCUAGUUCAAUAUUGAUUUCAACUCAUAUAAUUAAGUUGUGAGACAGAGAAUCUCAUCGAAUUAUCAAUAUUUUGUGUGAAGCAUUGUACAAUAGCUUCUAAAACCUAAUUAAAUAGUACAAAAAUUGUCUUUCGAAAUCUCAAACUCAAUACAUGUGUGCAAGAUGAUUAAUGCCCAAGGCCUGAAGUGCUGAAUUUGAUUCCACUGUGGCACGAUUUUUAAUUAAUUUAUUUAAUUGUGUAAUUUAUCAAAAAAAAAUAGAAAAAUAUAGCUCCUAAGUGAGAGUAACAAAGUUAACAAUUAAAAAGAAAUGUGAUUAUAUAUAAAAUUAUAAUCUUUUAAAAAGUAAAAUAAAAAUAAAUAAAUAAGAAAACUUAGUCCAAUCUAAUGUGUGACAUGCCAUGACCUCACGCUCCGAUUCGUCGGUGGACACGAGUUUCGAGAAAAUUUAAUUAUAUAUAAUUAGUAACAAUAUGUCCGAAAAUAGAAUAGGAAGAUAUUUUAUGGAGGAAUCAAAAAAGAAAAUUAGGAAAAUAUUUCGUGGACUUACGCCCGGUCUCGUGCGUGACAUGAGCGAAGAACGCCGCGAUCUCACGCUUCGAGUCGUCGGCGGACCCCACCGUGCCGAAGUUGGGGUACAGCUGAAUCGCUUGUAGGAAGGCGGCGCGUGUGUAGAAUCCCUUCCCGGCGCAGCCCCGCCCCGCCUGAUUAGCAAUGCCGUUGAAGAAACUAUCUGUCACCACGCCGCCGACAUUGCCUCCGUUGUUUUGGCCGGAGACGUAUUUUCCGGUGGCUAGGAGGAGAGCGAGAAGGGCGUAGAUAGUGAGGGAAUGGUUCAUUUUGGAGAUAGCUAAGAGUAGUGAGAAAAUAUUGUGUUGGUGUGGAGAAAUAAUGUGGGGAUAUGGGUAUUUAAAGAGUGAAAUAAAUAUAUACUCCAUUAUUUUAUUUUAUCUUUAGAAGGAUAAUGGGAAGAGGAAGAUAUCUUGAAGCUAGGAAGAUUGGAAGUUUGUUACAAAUGGAUUAGUAUAUUAUUGACUUUUGGAAUGCCUUAUAGUAUAAGGUACUAUUUGAUUUUAUUGUGGUGGAAAUUUGUGUUGGAUUUUCCAAAGUGGAGUAGGUAAACUUGACUUACUAUUAAGAGUCAACUCAUAAUAUUUACACCAUAUAUAACUAGUUACUUAUAAUCUAAUUAUAUGCUAAAGGAUAUUGUUCACUACAAAUUAUACUUAUAAGUUCAAAUGAGAAGGUAUAUAAUGUACUAUAAAUUAAAAAUUAUUUCAGUACUGAAAAUGUGAAGAUUUACUGUGAAUUCAUCACUUUGCUGAACGAACUCAUAAUUCAUGGUUCAUACUGAAUUUAAAUCUUAAAGGUGUUGAAAAUUCAUUUUCUUUUAAUUCAUUACUUUUCACAAUGAAUUCAUAAUAAUUCAUAUAUGAGAUGUUUGAUUUGAGCGAUAAGCAUGACUGAUAAACAAGUCCAACUUAACUAAACAUUUGGUUUGUAUGAUUCGACUCGUAAUAUAAUUUGGCCCGUAAUUUAAUCAUAUAAUAAAAUGAUCAUUUAUCACUUUAAAAUUGAGUUGAUUAUAUAUAACUCUAUCCGACAUUAUAAACAAUGAGACCAAAUAUAUAAAGACUCCAAAAUAAAAAUAAAAAAACCACGAAAGUGUUUAAUAAAAAUGAAAUAAAAGAAGAAUAUGACAAACCAACAUACUAGUGAGUCACAUGAUUCUCUAGAGUCCUAGCUUGGUCAAUUCUAUAUCUCAAUACAUUAAAAAUAAUAAAUAUUACCGACUCAUUAUAGUCCAAAUUAAUUGGUUCACGUGAUCAUGGUCCCCAUAUGUAAUACCGACCUAAUUUUCCACAUUCUCUUUCUUCUUCUUUUUUUUUUCUUCUUCUUCUAGUAACAUUUUUGUAUUCUCAUCCCUUCCUUGUUUAUACCACAUAUAACAAAUAUCUCAUUGAUUUAAUCUAUUUCAAUUUUUUUAAAAGAUAUUUCCUAAAUAUAACCUACCCCAAUUAACAUUAGCUAAGAGUUCAAGUUAAAUAUUAAAAAAGAGGGGGAAAAUGCCUUAAAAUACACAAAGUUUGGACGAAUUCUGAUUUUACACACAACUUUUGAAAUUUGAAAAAAAAAUACAACAAAUUUUAAUUUUUAUUUAUUUUUUAGUAAAUUUAAAAAUACCCUAAAAUUAGAAACAUAAAAGUUGCUACUACAACCCAACACAGCAAGCUCAUAAAUAACUAGGGAUGGCAGUGGAUCUUGGAUGCGGUUCGCAAUUCAACAUGAAAAUAAAGCUUUCUCUCGCAAUCAAACUUAAUACAAAUAUUGUAGCAGUUUAAAAUUUAAUGUAUUUCAUUUCAAAUUUCAAAGGUUGUGAGCAUAUUAAAAUUUUAUUUUUAUUUUUUCAUGGAUUAAUGUUUGAUUGCGAGAGAAAACUUUAAUCAAUAUUUUGAAUAUAAAUUUAAAUAUAAAUAUAAAUUUAUAUUCGGUAAACAAAAUUCGGGAUUCGAUGCGAUACUAAACAAAUCAAACUUGAGCACACCAGUAUUCAAUUCGACUCGGUUCGAUUAUACCCCUAUGUAUUCCCAGAAAAUGAAACCUUUUACCAAAAAGUACAAAGAUGUAAAAUAAUACUGUGAAAAGCGCAUUUUCAACUCUCUAUAAUGCUUUAGACAUCGUAUGUCAUGCAACGAUUUUACGAUGCAAUAUUUUCAAGAAUUCUUGAAAUUCACUGUAUCCAGCUUGGAUCCAUAACAUUUUUCAGACCUUUUUAGUUAUUGUAUCAAGUAAAUAUGUUCAAACUGUUGGAAAUCUGCUAUGCUAUUCUGGAGAAAUCGUUCAGCAGAAUAGACGCCUACAAAGUGCUCGACAGAACGACUGAAAGAGUUAAAGAAAGGGCUGCAGAAAUCUUCACACCAACUGUUUGGGAAAAUGCCUUGAAUAGAAAAAGGACUGCAAAAGUGGAGAAGCUGAACCGUUGAGAAUACCCAUUUCUAAUACUUCAAUUCAAAUACACUAAUGAUCAAACAUCAUUAAUUUAUUCCAUGCAUGUUAAUUAGCUCUCCUAACAACGAAGAUUAGGUCCAGGAUUAACUCCGAAUUGGUUACAAUAACUCGUAUAAUAAUUAACACGAGCAGUCACGGCGGCCGGCCUCCCUCCAUUGCAUUCUCCGCCGUUAAUAGCCCUAAUCGUGGCCCCAAAACCCCGCCCCGAUGUAAUAGCCGUGUGCACGCUAUUCAUCCAGAACCACAGCGCGGCCUUGAAUGAGAUGGCGGGGUCCCGGGCCACGAUAUCGGGGUUGUUCAAUCCAUCAAAAUUUAGGGCUUGGCCCGCCGGGCCGUAGUUGUAGUUCCACGUCAGCUGUAGCGGGCCUCUGCCGUAGUAGCUCUGGCCCG